GACGAACGCUGGCGGCGUGCUUAACACAUGCAAGUCGAGCGAGGCCCUCCUUCGGGAGGUGUCCUAGCGGCGAACGGGUGAGUAACACGUGGGCAACCUGCCCUCAGCUCUGGGAUAACCCCAAGAAAUUGGGGCUAAUACCGGAUACGACCGCUGACUGCAUGGUCUGGUGGUGGAAAGAUUUAUCGGCUGAGGAUGGGCCCGCGGCCUAUCAGCUUGUUGGUGGGGUAGUGGCCUACCAAGGCGACGACGGGUAGCCGGCCUGAGAGGGUGACCGGCCACACUGGGACUGAGACACGGCCCAGACUCCUACGGGAGGCAGCAGUGGGGAAUAUUGCGCAAUGGGCGGAAGCCUGACGCAGCGACGCCGCGUGGGGGAUGACGGCCUUCGGGUUGUAAACCUCUUUCAGCAGGGACGAAGCGAAAGUGACGGUACCUGCAGAAGAAGCACCGGCCAACUACGUGCCAGCCGCCGCAGUAAAAC
rnacentral:rRNA from 1 species